rnacentral:rRNA from 1 species
UACGGGGGGGGCAAGCGUUGUUCGGAAUUACUGGGCGUAAAGGGCUCGUAGGUGGCCAACUAAGUCAGACGUGAAAUCCCUCAGCUUAACUGGGGAACUGCGUCUGAUACUGGAUGGCUUGAGUUUGGGAGAGGGAUGCGGAAUUCCAGGUGUAGCGGUGAAAUGCGUAGAUAUCUGGAGGAACACCGGUGGUGAAGGCGGCAUCCUGGACCAACACUGACACUGAUGAGCGAAAGCCAGGGGAGCAAACGGG